rnacentral:rRNA from 1 species
AAUUUUGGACAAUGGGGGAAACCCUGAUCCAGCCAUCCCGCGUGUAUGAUGAAGGCCUCCGGGUUGUAAAGUACUUUGGGCAGAGAAGAAAAGGUAUCUCCUGUUACGAGAUACUGCUGACGGUAUCUGCAGAAUAAGCACCGGCUAACUACGUGCCAGCAGCCGCGGUAAUCCGGAGGGUGCAAGCGUUAAUCGGAAUUACUGGGCGUAAGGCGUGUGUAGGCGGUGCGGAAAGAAAGAUGUGGAAUCCAAGGGCUCAACCUUGGAACUGCAUUUUUAACUGCCGAGCUAGAGUAUGUCAGAGGGGGGUAGAAUUCCACGUGUAGCAGUGAAAUGCAUAGAUAUGUGGAGGAAUACCGAUGGCGAAGGCAGCCCCCUGGGAUAAUACUGACGCUCAGACACGAAAGCGUGGGGAGCAAACAGG